rnacentral:rRNA from 1 species
GUGGGAUUAGAUACCCUGGUAGUCCACACCGUAAACGUUGGGCGCUAGGUGUGGGAUCCAUUCCACGGGUUCCGUGCCGCAGCUAACGCAUUAAGCGCCCCGCCUGGGGAGUACGGCCGCAAGGCUAAAACUCAAAGGAAUUGACGGGGGCCCGCACAAGCGGCGGAGCAUGCGGAUUAAUUCGAUGCAACGCGAAGAACCUUACCUGGGUUUGACAUAUGCCGGAAAGCUCCAGAGAUGGAGCCCCUUUUGUCGGUAUACAGGUGGUGCACGGCUGUCGCCAACU